rnacentral:rRNA from 1 species
UGGGGGAUAUUGCACAAUGGGCGAAAGCCUGAUGCAGCGACGCCGCGUGGGGGAUGAAGGCCUUCGGGUUGUAAACUUCUUUUGCUCUGAACAAGGCGCACCAUGGGGUGUGUUGAGUGUAGGGGUUGAUUAGCGCCGGCUAACUACGUGCCAGCAGCCGCGGUAAUACGUAGGGCGCGAGCGUUGUCCGGAAUUAUUGGGCGUAAAGGGCUUGUAGGUGGCUGGUUGCGUCUGUCGUGAAAGCUCAUGGCUUAACUGUGUGUUUGCGGUGGGUACGGGCUGGCUUGAGUGCAGUAGAGGAGGCUGGAAUUCCUGGUGUAGCGGUGGAAUGCGCAGAUAUCAGGAGGAAUACCGGUGGCGAAGGCGGGUCUCUGGGCUGUUACUGACACUGAGGAGCGAAAGCAUGGGGAGCGAACAGG